UACGACACUGCUUAGCAUAGAACAAACCAGCUCUUUAUUACAAUCUAUUUGGGUACAAGGGUUACAUCGGCACGGCGACACUACGCCUGCCACUGUUGCUCUAUGCAAGCAACAGAAUAACUCUAGCAGUGUAACAACGACGAUGGUGGUGAACUCCACUCCGUAGGGACUCUGGCUGGAACGCUUAUCCUAGCUCGCACGAACGGAAACCACGACAAGCAAGCAAUCAACUCCGGCAUGACCUGCAAGCUGGCAUGACAUGCCAAGUCAGUACAUUGAAUGUACUUGCAAGCUCACAACAACCAGAAGCAUUCAAGACAGACAACAGCAUGGCAAUUAUAGGUUAAACAGUAAUUAACAUGAGAUUAUCAGAAUAACAUGGCAUGACCAACAUGAUACAACUAACACAACAUGAACAUAUUAAUCCAACAAUACUAGCAUGCAACAUGAUGACACUAUAUGCACCACUUAUCCUGCUCGGGCUACCUCCUAACCAACACAUGCAUCACUUACCAAUCUAGGACAUCACACGAUUAUCUCAGGAUCAAAUCAAGCUUGGUAUAAACAAUAUCAUAGUGAUCAUCAAAUGAACACAAGGAGCUUGGUCUUUACCCACGAUUCUCGCACAACAUCACGAAUAUCCAACAACUCGGUAUCCUCGAUACCACUGUGAUUCUUACGGCGGUCACAACCACGACCAACACUUGGUCCCAAACCGUGAUCCUUACGGCGAUCACAACCCGACCAAUACAUGGCCCGUGAUCCUUAUGGCGAUCACAACCAAAUUAUCUCAUUGUUAUUAAGCACAUUAUUCUUAUUACUGUUGACUCAUGGUAUACCCUACUUUCUAACUGGUCCCUUAUCCACGGGCGCGGCUAUCGAUAGAUUUAAUAUACACUCUAUUGAGGUUAGUACACUGUACCCACACUACGGAACACAUGGCCUCGCACUCCCAUUCGGGUGGACCAACGGCGUUCUGACAAAACCGUCCUACUGCCAUGACACUCUCCCGGCAACUCCGACUCACUCCCCACUGGGCUAAGUCAUGGGUGGCCCCGUGUCUACCUCAAGACACCUCAAACCACCGUCGUGGCAACGAUCCACUCUGGGACCCAAAAACUUAACUCCUCAACGGGCACACAAGGCUUAUGUCCGCCUACCUGAUUAGGGUAGCGCGCGCCCAUAACCUUCCCUCGUUGGAGGCACCGGCGAGAGGCACGACAAUAGACCCAGUUAGGACUGUCCCAUAUCGUUUAGCGUGGUUGCACUGGUCAGCAUCGUUUCAGCGGCACCAUGACUCAGCCAACAGUUGUUCAAGUUCAAUUUAAUCCGAUUAACUUGAAUGCAAAUGUGUUGAACCAUGAUAAAAUGCAUGAACAUGAUAUCAACAUAAUCAUGAGGGUAUCACAUAACUAUCCAUCAUAUUAACAAUAAAUCAUAUCCACUAAGCAUGGCAUACUGACUAGCAUGAACAUCACCAGUACAUCAACAUGUACUACUAGCAAGCAUAAAUAUAUGAAAGGAAAUACUAGCAUGUAGAACAUGAUAACAGAGUACAAAACAACAUAGCACAAAAGUGAGCAUGCAAAUCUAAACAUUACCGGAACAAUGAUAACCAUCUUUUCAACAAGCAAACAUUUAAUGAAGAUUCAAGUUGAAAACCAUGGCUACUGGAUGACUAUCAUGCAAGUGGGUAUUGUGGCUUGCCUGGGGUGGAAGAAAUCACCGGGGAGAAGUGUCGUGAAGCCGCGGAAAGAUUUGCUAGAGACAGUUCUCUCUCGGAGGGGCUGUUUACGCACAAG
rnacentral:lncRNA from 1 species